GUCCUUGUAGUGUAAUAGAUAGCGCGUUGGACUUCUCAUACAAAGGUUGUGGGUUCGAAUCCCACCUGGGAUG